rnacentral:rRNA from 1 species
GAUGAACGCUGGCGGCGUGCCUAAUACAUGCAAGUCGAGCGAACGGACGAGAAGCUUGCUUUUCUGAUGUUAGCGGCGGACGGGUGAGUAACACGUGGAUAACCUACCUAUAAGACUGGGAUAACUUCGGGAAACCGGAGCUAAUACCGGAUAAUAUUUUGAACCGCAUGGUUCAAAAGUGAAAGACGGUCUUGCUGUCACUUAUAGAUGGAUCCGCGCUGCAUUAGCUAGUUGGUAAGGUAACGGCUUACCAAGGCAACGAUGCAUAGCCGACCUGAGAGGGUGAUCGGCCCCCCUGGACCUGAGCCCCGGUCCAGACUCCUACGGGAGGCAGCGGUCGGGAAUCUUCCGCAAUGGGCGAAAGCCUGACGGAGCAACGCCGCGUGAGUGAUGAAGGUCUUCGGAUCGUAAAACUCUGUUAUAAGGGAAGAACAUAUGUGUAAGUAACUGUGCACAUCUUGACGGUACCUAAUCAGAAAGCCACGGCUAACUACGU